GACGAACGCUGGCGGCGUGCUUAACACAUGCAAGUCGAACGGAAAGUCCCUGCUUUUGUGGGGUGCUCGAGUGGUGAACGGGUGAGUAACACGUGAGUAACCUGCCCUUGACUUUGGGAUAACUUCAGGAAACUGGGGCUAAUACCGGAUAGGAGCUCCUGCUGCAUGGUGGGGGUUGGAAAGUUUCGGCGGUUGGGGAUGGACUCGCGGCUUAUCAGCUUGUUGGUGGGGUAGUGGCUUACCAAGGCUUUGACGGGUAGCCGGCCUGAGAGGGUGACCGGCCACAUUGGGACUGAGAUACGGCCCAGACUCCUACGGGAGGCAGCAGUGGGGAAUAUUGCACAAUGGGCGGAAGCCUGAUGCAGCAACGCCGCGUGCGGGAUGACGGCCUUCGGGUUGUAAACCGCUUUCGCCUGUGACGAAGCGUGAGUGACGGUAAUGGGUAAAGAAGCACCGGCUAACUACGUG
rnacentral:rRNA from 1 species